rnacentral:rRNA from 1 species
GACGAACGCUGGCGUCGUGCUUAACACAUGCAAGUCGAACGGAAAGGCCCUGCUUUUGUGGGGUGCUCGAGUGGCGAACGGGUGAGUAACACGUGAGUAACCUGCCCUUGACUUUGGGAUAACUUCAGGAAACUGGGGCUAAUACCGGAUAGGAGCUCCUGCUGCAUGGUGGGGGUUGGAAAGUUUCGGCGGUUGGGGAUGGACUCGCGGCUUAUCAGCUUGUUGGUGGGGUAGUGGCUUACCAAGGCUUUGACGGGUAGCCGGCCUGAGAGGGUGACCGGCCACAUUGGAACUGAGAUACGGCCCAGACUCCUACGGGAGGCAGCAGUGGGGAAUAUUGCACAAUGGGCGGAAGCCUGAUGCAGCAACGCCGCGUGCGGGAUGACGGCCUUCGGGUUGUAAACCGCUUUCGCCUGUGACGAAGCGUGAGUGACGGUAAUGGGUAAAGAAGCACCGGCUAACUACGUG